rnacentral:rRNA from 1 species
UAACGCGGAAGGACCUUACCUGGUCUUGACAUAUCUAGAAUCCUGCAGAGAUGCGGGAGUGCCUUCGGGAAUUAGAAUACAGGUGCUGCAUGGCUGUCGUCAGCUCGUGUCGUGAGAUGUUGGGUUAAGUCCCGCAACGAGCGCAACCCUUGUCCUUAGUUACCAGCGGGUUAAGCCGGGAACUCUAAGGAUACUGCCAGUGACAAACUGGAGGAAGGCGGGGACGACGUCAAGUCAUCAUGGCCCUUACGACCAGGGCUACACACGUGCUACAAUGGUAGGUACAGAGGGCAGCUACACAGCGAUGUGAUGCGAAUCUCAAAAAGCCUAUCGUAGUCCAGAUUGGAGUCUGCAACUCGACUCCAUGAAGUAGGAAUCGCUAGUAAUCGCGGAUCAGAAUGCCGCGGUGAAUACGUUCCCGGGUCUUGUACCACACCGAA